GACGAACGUUGGCGGCGUGCUUAAUACAUGCAAGUCAACUGAAGCAGUGGUAGCAAUAUCGCUGUGGAGGUGGCGCACGGGUGAGUAACACGUAGGUAAUCUGCCUUCAGGUCUGGCAUAACUCCGGGAAACCGGGGCUAAUAGCAGAUGAUGCAGCGGCUCGACAUCGAGACAGUUGUUAAAGCUAUGGCGCCUGAAGAUGAGCCUGCGUCUGAUUAGCUAGUUGGCGGGGUAACGGCCCACCGAGGCAACGAUCAGUAGCUGGUCUGAGAGGAUGAUCAGCCACACUGGAACUGAGACACGGUCCAGACUCCUACGGGAGGCAGCAGUAAGGAAUAUUGCUCAAUGGGAGAAAUCCUGAAGCAGCAACGCCGCGUGAGGGACGAAGGGCUUUUGCUUGUAAACCUCUGUAGUGAGAGAAAAAAAUCCCAAUCUUUGGGACAUGAUGGUAUCUCAAAAGUAAGCCCCGGCUAACUACGUG
rnacentral:rRNA from 1 species